rnacentral:rRNA from 1 species
GGUACCCAGUUCGGACUGCAGGCUGCAACCCGCCCUGCACGAAGCCGGAGUUGCUAGUAAUCGCGAAUCAGAAUGUCGCGGUGAAUGCGUUCCCGGGUCUUGUACACACCGCCCGUCACACCAUGGAAGUUGGGGGUGCCCAAAGCCGGCAAGCAAAUAUGCUGUCUAAGGCAAAACCAAUGACUGGGGUGAAGUCGUAACAAGGUAGC